GUGCUUUGCAAGCAGUGUGAAUGACACUCCAGUGGCUUGCUAAUGGGUGGCAGAUGUGUCCAGAAAUCAAGCUCUGAACCUCUCGUUUGGUGUUUCCCAGAGCAUCUCAAGAUUCACAGAGCUUUCGAGCUGCAGGAACUUGCAGAGUACCAACCCAGUCACGUGACCAUUUUGGAGAUGAAGAAACGGGCAUGGAAAAGUGAUGCAAUUUGCUGAAGUCCACAAGGUGUGGACUACAAUGCUACUCUUCUGGAUCAUGGUAGAAAUUUUAAAAUCUUAGCAUUUAGGAAUCAUCUAUGUACAGUCUUUAGUCUCAUACAUAAGGAAACUGAAGCCCAAGAGGCAACAAUGUGAUUGAUCCAAGGUCUGGAGGGUAUACGGUAGAGCUGAGAUGUUAAUGGUGAUAACAUCAUCAAUACCAGCUGAACCAUUUGUGCCUUCUAGAUGUCUUUAUUCGAUGCAUAUCUUCACUAGCACUGUUUCUUUUCCUUUUUUUUUUUUUUUUGAGACGGAGUCUCACUCCGUCACCCAGGUUGGAGUGCAGUGGUGCGAUCUGGGCUCACUGCAAGCUCCGCCUCCUGGGUUCACGCCAUUCUCCUGCUUCAGCCUCCCAAGUAGCUGGGGCUACAGGCACCUGCCACCACUCCUGGCUAAUUUUUUGUAUUUUUAGUAGAGACAGGGUUUCAUCAUGUUAGCCAGGAUGGUCUCGAUCUCCUGACCUCACGAUCUGCCCACCUCGGCCUCCCAAAGUGCUGGGAUUACAGGCGUGAGCCACCAUGGCCGGCCCACAUUAUUGAUUUUCUUUAUUAAGUUCAAUACGUAUUUUCUGGCCGCUUAUUGUGCGACCCACUGCACUGGGUAUAUUCCAUGUUUGUGGUCAAUCUCUUCCAACUAGGUCAAAAGGAGGUUUGUCUUUUACCACAUUCUGUGCCUUAAGCCACUUCACAGCAGCGCCUCCCGUAGAACUGGUUUGGUAAAGAUUCGCUGGUCAGCAGCUCUAGGGGAUCUGGCUGCCUGGCACAUGGUCAUUUUAUUAUGGUUCCUGUUGCUUUUGGUGUUUUAAUAUCAUAACUUUACUUCUGGGACAUAAACAAAAUGCAACAUAAGCCAGGCUACAGAGUCCAGAGUCCUACUUGACGCCAAGAGAGAGACAGGUAAGAGAGAAGACCUCUUCGCCACCCUCCGGAACUUGCAUUCUGAAGCAAAGUUGAGAAAAUCAUUGCACACAUACAACAAAGAUGAUCCUAGUAGCAGCUGGAUGGAGUCACAGGCCUCCGUUCACGAGCUUCUGGUAUGCUCUUAGCAGAGAGCAGGGGGAUUAGUCAGAGAAAACUCCACAGAAAAAAGUUUUGGGACAGUUUCCUAUGGGAAAGACUUAGAGGAAAGAAUAAGAAGGAAGAACUUUCCAGAAAAGGGAAGAGGGGCAAGUAGCAAUGCACAAGGCACAAGUAACCUCUGCUGAUCCCCAGCAUGGCACACGAUAGUAGCUCAAGUAUAAAAAUACAGGCACGCGCACACACUAGCAACUUCAUCAUCGACAUAGUACGCUGCCUAUGACCUCCACCUAGUUUAUUUACCCAUUCAGUCAUUCAUAAAAUGUGUCUUAAGCUCCUCCUUGUGCCAGUCUCAGUUCUAGGUUCCAGUGGAAAAAGGAAACAGAAAGCACUACCCUCACAGAGUGGAUCUUCUAGUGGGAAAACAUAGACAAUAAACUAAUAAAUAGGUAAAAUAAGUAGUACCUUCAGCACGAGAAAUACCGUGGAGACAAAGAAGGCAAACAGGGUAUAGGGAUCGGUUGCAAUUUAAAAUAGGGUGGUUGGGAAAGAGACAGCUGAGAAAGUGACCUUUUACCAAAUACCUAAAGGAAGGAUUUAAGGGAAGGGUGUUUCAGGCAGGCAGUGGCUGACACUGAGUGAGCAAGGGGACAGGUGGAGUGGGAGAUGGGCAGGCAGCCAGGAGGGGGCCCUGUAGUGUGAGGAUGUGGGCUUCCACACCUCAGGAGAUGGGAAGCCAUCAGAGAGUUCUGAGCAGAGGAGUGAUGUGAGUUGGUUUAGGUUUUAAAAGUUAGCAUGCUGAUGAUCUGUCAGGGGCAGUGUGCAAAUAGGGAGAUCAGUGAAGGGGCUAUGAUGAGAGUCCAGGCUGUGGAGGAGGAUUUCUGAUGGUGGACUCCCAAUAUCCAAGUGUAAGAAAAUGAGUAUCUGGGGCACAGGAGGAAAGCUCAGGCACCUAGCUCUAGAGGAGGGACAUCGCCUCCGACAAUUCCCCCCUUACAAGAAGAAAACAGGAGGGACCAUUCAAAAAGGAAACUUUAGCUGAACACACAGGAUUGGCGGAGAGGAAAUUCGUCUUUGUCCAUGCUGGUUUCUAACACAAGGAGGCAGAUGAAAUAGCACUGGGGCAUUUCUUUGCUCUCAUCACCCCAUGAAAAGCAUUCCCAACUGACUCGGUAGAUUGGCAUGCCUGAAACCUUCCUAAUGCCCAUGGUCCUGGCAUCUUCUGCCUAGGUUCAAGCACAGGGGUGAAGAAAGGAAUGAGAUGAGAGAUACGGUAGGUGUCUUUGGCUUACCCGAACUUUAUCACAGAAAGUUACUUCCUUCUAAGCACCACCCUGACCCCUUCAUCUCAUGCUCCACACCUUGUUCUAGGGUAAUGCUAAGUCCUUUUUCUUUAGAAAACAUCAGAGUGAACAGGCAACCUACAGAAUGGGAGGAAAUUUUUGCAAUCUGCCCAUCUGACAAAGGGCUAAUAUCCUGAAUCUACAAAGAACUUAAACAAAUUUACAAGAAAAAAACAACCCCAUCAAAAAGGGUGCAAAGGAUAUGAACAGACACUUCUCAAAAGAAGACAUUUAUGCAGCCAACAGACACAUGAAAAAAUGCUCAUCAUCACUGGUCAUCAGAGAAAUGCAAAUCAAAACCACAAUGAGAUACCAUCCCACACCAGUUAGAAUGGCAAUCAUUAAAAGUCAGGAAACAACAGAUGCUGGAGAGGAUGCGGAGAAAUAGGAACACUUUUACACUGUUGGUGGGAGCGUGAACUAGUUCAACGAUUGUGGAAGACAGUGUGGCGAUUCCUCAAGGAUCUAGAACUAGAAAUACCAUUUGACCUAGUGAUCCCACUACUGGGUACAUACCCAAAGGAUUAUAAAUCAAUCUACUAUAAAGACACAUGCACACAUAUGUUUAUUGCAGCACUAUUCACAACAGCAAAGACUUGGAACCAACCCAAAUGUCCAUCAGUGAUAGACUGGAUUAAGAAAAUGUGGCACAUAUACACCAUGGAAUACUAUGCAGCCAUAAAAAUGGAUGAGUUCAUGUUCUUUGCAGGGACACGGAUGCAGCUGGAAACCAUCAUUCUGAGCAAACUAUCACAAGGGCAGAAAACCAAACACCACAUGUUCUCACUCAUAGGUUGGAACUGAACAAUGAGAACACUUGGACACAGGGCGAGGAACAUCACACAUUGGGGCCUGUCAGGGGGUGGGGGGCAGGGGGAGGGAUAGCAUUAGGAGAAAUACCUAAUGUAAAUGACAAGUUAAUGGGUGCAGCAAAGCAACAUGGCACAUGUAUACCUAGGUAGCAAACCUGCACAUUGUGCACAUGUACCCUAGAACUUAAUGCAUAACAAAAAAUUAAAAAUUAAAAAAUAAAGAAAACUGGGCUUUUUUUUAAGUGGGAAAAAGAAACGGGGACAAGUUAGUGCCAAAUAAGGAUUUUAAAAAAUCAAAUAGGCAGGAAACAAUAUAAUGUAUUGUCCAAUCUGGAAUACUUUUGAGAGUAAAGAAGAAGUGCUAUUAAUAAUUCUCCCUGGUCUGGAAGCUUAAGCCUGGACGAGCUUGAGCACCUGACUGUGAAGGGUGAUGUGUAAAGGGGGCUCUCCCCAUUCCCACCACUCUGCUCCCAGCUCCUGCCCACAUGGUUCAGUUCCCGGAACUUGCUGGUGGCAGUUGUGGGACCCCAGGCAUAGUGAGAUUCUCAAUUAGUUAUUGGUUCUGAUACAGAAUCUUGCAUUUAUAUCAAGAUUUGGAGUUGGGUGGGGCUGGGAAAG
rnacentral:lncRNA from 10 species